UCUUUUUCACACUAUUCCAUCUCUGACGGCGUUCUCCUGUUGAAGCUCCGUCUCUGGCUCCCUUUCUGAAUCUACCAUAUUUGAAGCUCUCAUAUCUAUUGAAGGGCAACUAUUCAAGAUCAAUAGUUACACAGAUGGGUAUGCCUUCGCCUCUUAAUACAGACUUGCCAUGAAUGAGAAGAAGACAAGAAGCGUGAGAGGUCAAGGAGUUGUUGAUUCAAGCUUUUCU